GAUGAACGCUGGCGGCGUGCCUAAUACAUGCAAGUCGAGCGAACAGACGAGGAGCUUGCUCCUCUGACGUUAGCGGCGGACGGGUGAGUAACACGUGGAUAACCUACCUAUAAGACUGGGAUAACUUCGGGAAACCGGAGCUAAUACCGGAUAAUAUAUUGAACCGCAUGGUUCAAUAGUGAAAGACGGUUUUGCUGUCACUUAUAGAUGGAUCCGCGCCGCAUUAGCUAGUUGGUAGGGUAACGGCUACCAAGGGGACGAUGCGUAGCCGACCUGAGAGGGUGAUCGGCCACACUGGAACUGAGACACGGUCCAGACUCCUACGGGAGGCAGCAGUAGGGAAUCUUCCGCAAUGGGCGAAAGCUUGACGGAGCAACGCCGCGUGAGUGAUGAAGGUCUUCGGAUCGUAAAACUCUGUUAUUAGGGAAGAACAAAUGUGUAAGUAACUAUGCACGUCUUGACGGUACCUAAUCAGAAAGCCACGGCUAACUACGUG
rnacentral:rRNA from 1 species